GAUCAAUUGGGUAGGCUGCUCGGUUCUCACCGCGCAGUUAGACGCAACCCUGACGCAACCCUUAUUGGAUUUGGAAAAUGGUGGUUUCUUCACCAUGUCUCUUUCCUCUAUGGAACUGUUGGGUUUAAUUGUUUUCGUACAGUUUAAAAAGCGAAACAAUGUAUGUCAGGGAGCCUACCCCCAUUU
rnacentral:telomerase_RNA from 1 species